AGGGACCAUCCGCUAAGGCUAAAUACUCCUGAGAGACCGAUAGUGAACCAGUACCGUGAGGGAAAGGUGAAAAGAACCGUGAAUAACGGAGUGAAAAAGAUCCUGAAACCAUACGCCUACAAGCGGUCGGAGCCCAUUCGUUGGGUGACGGCGUGCCUUUUGCAUAAUGAGCCUACGAGUUACCGUUGCUGGCAAGGAUAAGCACUUCAGGUGUGGAUCCGUAGCGAAAGCGAGUCUGAAUAGGGCGCUAUAGUCAGUAGUGGUAGACGCGAAACCGUGUGAUCUACCCAUGGGCAGGAUGAAGCUGUGGUAACACACAGUGGAGGUCCGAACCGGUUGACGUUGAAAAGUCUUCGGAUGACCUGUGGGUAGGGGUGAAAGGCCAAUCAAACUCGGAAAUAGCUCGUACUCCCCGAAAUGCAUUUAGGUGCAGCGCUGAUUUAGUUAUAUAGAGGUAGAGCUACUGAUUGGAUGCGGGGGCUUCACCGCCUACCAAUUCCUGACAAACUCCGAAUGCUAUAUAAUGAUUUUCAGCAGUGAGGGCAUGGGUGCUAAGGUCCAUGUCCGAGAGGGAAAGAACCCAGACCAACAGUUAAGGUCCCAAAAUCUAUACUAAGUUGAACAAAGGAGGUCUGAUUGCAGAGACAGCCAGGAUGUUAGCUUGGAAGCAGCUAUUCAUUUAAAGAGUGCGUAACAGCUCACUGGUCGAGCGAGGCGGGCAUCGAUAAUAAACGGGCAUCAAGUAUAGUACCGAAGCUUUGGAUUAUAUAGAAAUAUAUACUGGUAGGGGAGCAUUCUGAUAGCGGUGAAGGUGAAUCGACAAGGUUUGCUGGAGUGAUCAGAAAAGCAAAUGUAGGGAUAAGUAACGAUAAUGGGGGCGAGAAACCCCCACGCCGAAAAGUCAAGGAUUCCUCAGCUAUGCUAAUCAACUGAGGGUUAGUCGGGGGCUAAGGGUCUAGCGAGAGCGACAAUCUAAUGCACAUCAGGUUAAUAUUCCUGAACUUACUAUUAGGGAAACACGAUGACGGAGAUUCGUGGUUGGCAGGUACUGACGGAAUAGUGCCUCUGAGUGGAAGCCGCAAGGCAGAUGCGAGUUAGCGAAGAAACUUCCAAGAAAAGUUGUGAAUCAUAACUUAAUAGUAACCCGUACCGUAAACCGACACAGGUGGUCGAGAUGAGUAUUCUAAGGCGCUUGGGUGAGCCGCGGAGAAGGAACUAGGCAAAUUAACGCUGUAACUUCGGGAUAAAGCGUACCGCAGCGAUGCGGUCACAGUAAAAUGGUUCAACCAACUGUUUAACAAAAACACAGGGCCCUGCAAAAUCGAAAGAUGACGUAUAGAGCCUGAAACCUGCCCGGUGCUGGAAGGUUAAGGAAGGGUGUUCGUAGCAAUACAAAGCUCCUGACUGAAGCCCCAGUAAACGGCGGCCGUAACUAUAACGGUCCUAAGGUAGCGAAAUUCCUUGUCGG
rnacentral:rRNA from 1 species